UGGGGAAUUUUGGACAAUGGGGGAAACCCUGAUCCAGCCAUCCCGCGUGUGCGAUGAAGGCCUUCGGGUUGUAAAGCACUUUUGGCAGGAAAGAAACGUCAUGGGUUAAUACCCCGUGAAACUGACGGUACCUGCAGAAUAAGCACCGGCUAACUACGUGCCAGCAGCCGCGGUAAUACGUAGGGUGCAAGCGUUAAUCGGAAUUACUGGGCGUAAAGCGUGCGCAGGCGGUUCGGAAAGAAAGAUGUGAAAUCCCAGGGCUCAACUUUGGAACUGCAUUUUUAACUACCGGGCUAGAGUUUGUCAGAGGGAGGUGGAAUUCCGCGUGUAGCAGUGAAAUGCGUAGAUAUGCGGAGGAACACCGAUGGCGAAGGCAGCCUCCUGGGAUAACACUGACGCUCAUGCACGAAAGCGUGGGGAGCAAACAGG
rnacentral:rRNA from 1 species